CUGACGGAUGUGUAGCUUAAGGGAGAAAUAGCCCUUUAGCAAGGGAAGAGGCUGGGAUGUGGGAGAUAUUUGUUACUGCAGAAAAAGCCUAGCCUAUUUGCCCCAAGGAAUGUCUUCAGAAUUCAGUUCCACGAGCAGCACUUGAUUGUGAAGUUCACGUCCAGCACUUUCUCCCCGCCUUUGGCAGAUGAAAUGCGACAGCACUGCUCUCUGUAGUCUGGCCACCGCCUGUGUAUGGUACUGAUUUCUCCAGGAACCAGAAAUCACUUGAAUGUUUAAUACAGAAGGCCUUUCAUGGAGACAAUUGGAUACAGAGGUGAUAGAAGGGCUGAGAUGCCAGGCAGGGGGCAGUGCAGCAACCAGAGACCAGAGGAGUGGGAAGCCCCUACCAGGCUAAAGGGACAAAGGCAGAAGAGGGUACAAUUGGAGCCCAGGGACUCGGACCCCCUGAGGCAGCUGGAACCAAGGUGGGCCUGUCUGGAGUGAACCAGAGGCGGGAAGGAAAUGCAGGCCCUGAGGGAGAGGCUCGGGAGAGACGCCCUGGCUGCUCUCUCUUCCUGCGUUUCAGGAUCUUGCCCAUGCCUCCCGUCAGCCACUGCCUCAAGAAGCAAGCUGAAGCGGGAGCCUGGAAAGCAGAGCCUGCAGGCUUCGCUGUGAUGGAGAACAGAGCAAGGGAUGGGGAGGGGGGCACCUGGGGGCAAACGGGCUCAGGAUGGAACCUCCCCCUACCUUCUGCCUCUGAAGUCAAAAGGCAGGUAGUGCCAUUGAGAGUUGGGCAAGAAUGGACAGUAGAGGCAAGCAACCCCUAUGAUUUAUUGUCUUAGCACAAUAAGAACUUAUUCUUCUCUCACAGGGCGGUCUGAGGCAGCUGUUCCUGAUUGGUG
rnacentral:lncRNA from 1 species